UACGGGGGGGGCAAGCGUUGUUCGGAAUUACUGGGCGUAAAGGGUCUGUAGGUGGCCUACUAAGUCAGACGUGAAAUCCCUCAGCUUAACUGGGGAACUGCGUCUGAGACUGGAUGGCUCGAGUGCAGGAGAGGAAUGCGGAAUUCCAGGUGUAGCGGUGAAAUGCGUAGAUAUCUGGAGGAACACCGGUGGCGAAGGCGGCAUUCUGGACUGCAACUGACACUGAAAGACGAAAGCCAGGGGAGCAAACGGG
rnacentral:rRNA from 1 species